CUUUGUCUUCAGAUCCAGCAGUUUUGCUUCGGAUUGAUGGUGUGACAGAAGACAAAUUAGAGAAAUAUGGAGCAGAAAUAAUAGAAGUGAUGCAGAAGUAUUGUUCAAAGAUACUACCAGCGGAAAACAAGCCUCUUGCAGCCACAGAGACUGACUUUAGCAGAUGUGAUAGUGAAGAUGAGGAAGAAGCAACGAAUACGACGUCCCACUAUUUCCAAACCAAAAAUGGCAAGGGAAGGAAGAGGAAGAAGUCUAAUUUUUUUAGGGAAUCGAAGAAAAAAAAAGGAUCUGGGGGACAGCAGGCUUAUUCUAAGAGGAGUUACAAAGCCUGCAAAAGCACUUCGGCUGGUUCUAAAAAUUCUACUUCCUGUAUUAUUCCUGGCCAGCCCGGAGCCGGCAAGAGGC